rnacentral:misc_RNA from 1 species
CCGAGUUAGGGUCUUCCAGGCCCGACCUCCCAACCCUUUGUUUACUUAACCUGUGUUGCUUCGGCGAGCCCGUCCUUGGACCGCCGGGGGACCGUAACACGUUCCCUGGCCCGCGCUCGUCGGUGGCCUUACCAAAACUCUUUACGAAUCGUGUCCUUAUCUGAGUACGUUGAUUAUCAUAAUCAUUAAAGCA